GUGGUGGUGGUGGUGGUGGUGGAUGGAGGUUCCCCAGUUUGGGAACCUUGACCAACCCAUAUAACAACAUGUGCUGGCACUGAAAUUAUGUGUUAAAGUUGCAAUGGUAACAAAUGGUCGUUGCCAAAAAAAUUGAGACGGUGUGUAGAGAUUUAUGAAAAAAAGUGGACUCCUCCUCCAGUUACUUUCCCCAGAUUUGCUUGCUGGGAGUUUGUUUUUCAGGACCCGUUUCUGAACAUUUAUUAUAACAGUAGCUUCUGCAUACAUGCACACACACAUACACCUCAGAAUUUUGUUGCUUUAAAAUAUGUCAACAUUAGUGGGAUCACAUUGUGUGAGGACUGCCACAGAUUAGUUUCUUGUUGAACAUUGUAGAGUGGACAUCUCUACUUGACAUUUGUUGAUCUUGGCUAAUUGGUAUGAGCUGAGCCUCUUGGGCUCUGUAGGAGUCUGCCAUGGGGGAAAGGAAGGCCUUCCAGCGUAGGUGUCAGCUGUUGCUAUCCCUGCACCUGACCCAUGCUGGCUGCCCUGCAAUUGUUUUUAGUUUCCAUCUUUCUCUUCCAGUUUGUCCUCUAUGAUGAAGUUUUGGGGUGAUGGCGGUGGGGGGGGGGUGGUUCGUGGGGUCAGAGCCAAUGACCAAGAAAGGAUUCUUGAAGAUAUCUGGUGCAAAAAGAUGAUUUUAUUAAAGCAUGGGGACAGGACCUGUGGGCAGGAAGAGGUACACUGAGGUUGUGACAGGUAACUCAUUAUAUACCCUCAGGUUGGGAGGGGGUCAGGGAUAGAGUAUGUCUUUAAGGAAUUUUGGAAACAAGGUUUCCAGGACCUUGAGGGGCUAGCUGUUGCUAGGGAAACACCAUUUAUCACCGUUUAAUAAAGCCUCAGUGAUGAGACUCUUUAGAUGCAUAUCGGGGAACCAUAAGCUUGGAGUAUGAUUGCCAGCAUAUAUCUUGAAGCAGUUGAAAUAAAGGAAGUUGACUUACAGGAUCCUUGAGGUUGGGAUAAUGUGAAGCCAAGGUUCUCUUUUGCUCCCAGCAAAGUGUCAUCCUUGAGGUAGCUGAACUCCUAGAGGGAGGUCACUCUGCCGGUCUCAAGGACCUGUCAAUGGGCUAUAGGCAGUAAGGGAAUUUAAUUUUUCAUUUGCCUUGGUUUCCCACAUCACCAUGGCAAGCACUUAAGCCCCUUUCCUUUGUUCUUGGGUAGCCAGGAGUGUCCGAGGAAUAUUACACAUAUUCCACCUGGGGGCAGGGGGCAGUAUGCCAGCCUGUAUUUUGCCCUUAGCUUGCCCUAUGCGUCCCCAUCACCCUACAUCACUCUUCCUAGUGUCUGGAAGAUUGUAUCCUUCACUUGCUCUGACCCUCCCUGGGCACAGACCCUCUGCUGGUUCCCACCAGCACUUCUGUUUGGCUGUUGGUGGAGUUCUCUCAGUUCACUGAGAUAUGGCAUAUCCAUGCCCUCUAUCUCCAGGAACAACUCUCGUACCUUUACCUAGCCUGAUAUGAGCUACUGUAAACUCCCCCUGCAGGGGUGGGUUCACUCUCCUCUUGACCAGAUUCCCAGUGCCAGGUGUUCUCUUGAAGGCACAGAUGGGGAAGUUCAGGCUGGAGAUAUCCCCUACCAGGUUGCCAGCUAGCCAGACUUAGGGACAGUUUCUGCAAGAGGAAGUGACCUCGAGGGUAUGGGUGGCUGGAAGGGUGUGCAUGGUCUGUGGCCCUGAUUGGGUGGGCAUUUGUCCCAGGAAGACAGUGUGUGGCCUGAGUGAGUGCAGGUGAGACCAGCUUCCCAAGGUCUUGCCAUGGCAGUAGGCCCAGCACCCCUCAGUCAAAAAGAGCUUGUGGUCAUCAAGAGGGAGGAUGAUGAGGCCACCUCAUGGGAUCCUGAACCUCUCUCUAACCCUCAGCCCUCCACUCUGCUGUCCAGGCUUUGUAGGGACCCCUGACAGUGCUUCUGCAGCUUCUGCUAUGAAGAGGCAGCAGGGCCCUGAGAGGCCCUGGCCAGGCUAUGAGAUCUUUGCUGCUGGUGAAUGAGGCCUGAGUCACACUCCAAGGAGCAAAUGAUGGAGCUGUUAGUGCUGGAGCAGUUCUUGGGUGUGUUGCCACCUGACACCCAGGUUUGGGUGGAGUCCCAGUGCCCUGAGAGUGCUGAGGAGGCUGUGGUGCUGGUGGAGAGCCUUGCUCAGAUGAUGCAGGAAACUGGUGAGCCACAGGGGCCCAGGGGCCUGGUUGGGAGGCCCAGGGGCUGGGGAAUGCAGAAGGGGACACAACCUACCACCCUGACCCAGUGUUCUUAUCACUGGGAAGAAGACUCAAAAGCUGCAACAUGUUUGGAGCAUUUUGUAGCCUGUGAGCCUCCCAGAGAUGUGAGCUUGACAUUGGCAUGACAUUUCACCCUCUCAGGGUGCACCAGGCCUCCUUUCUCUUCCUUCUUUCCUUACUCAAAAUGUCACUGGAUGCAUGCCAUGUUCCAGGCAUCUAAGUCAAUCAAGGAAGGAAACAAGGUUUCUGCCCUAUUGGAACUUGGUCUGUUUAGAGAGUUGGAUAGUGAGACCACCAGUCAUAAUUAGGGUAUCCUGUUUUCUCUGGAGGGGGUGGGGCACGAGGAGGUGAACAGAGAUUGGCCUCGCCAGGGAUGGCUUUGCAGUUCAUGCCAUGUGACAUCUUCACUUUGGGCAACAUGUGUCUGUAUGCCUGUGGGGAGGGGAUAAUCAUGAAACCGGCUGGAGAGAUGGUUGGAUAGGAUGCCAUCGUUCAUCCUGGCAUUUGUUCACUCAUUUGUUCACAGAUACCUAUGCAGUGUCUUUUGUCUUCUUGGUCCUCUAUAUCAAGAGGUAGAAAACCUAGUGAUGAAAAACAAAAACAGGUUUACUAAGUUAUAAUUUGCAUACAAAAAAAGUAUACAGUCCCUGGGUUUAGUAUAUUUGCAAGAUUAUAUAACCAUUACCAUUGCCUCAUACCAUAAUUUAAACAUCUCAGAGAAACUGUGCCCAUGAGGAGUCACUCCCCAUUUUACUCCUAAUGCCUUGGCAAACACUAAUAUUUGUGUCUCUAUGGAUUUGCUUAUUCUGGACAUUUCAUUAAAGGGAAUCAUAUGAUAUGUAGCUUUUUAUGACUUGCCUCAUUCAUUGAGUGUAAUGUUUUCAGUGUACAUUUAUGUUGUGGCAUGUAAUUAUCUCAUUUUUAUGGUUAAAUAAUAUCUACUAUGAGUAUAUCACAUUUUGUUUAUUCAUUUAUCUAUUAAUGGACAUUUGGGAUGUUUGUGCCUUUUGGCUAUUAUGUAUAAUGAUGCUGUGAAUGUAUGUGUAUGUGUUUUUAUGUGGACAAAUGUUUUCAUUGCUCUUGGUUAUAUACCUGGGGGUGGAAUGACUGGUGAGGCUGUUUGACCUUUUGAGGAAUGCUAACAUACCACUCGUUUUAACAGAGAGGAUUUUAAUGCAAAUAAUUUAACAGGUAUUGAAGGAAGAGAAAAGUAUAGAAAAAAGGUGUCAUGGCUGUAGGGACUGCAGGGAAUAGUACCCUCCUACAGAUGUAGGAACAAAGGGAAGAGAUUGGAAUUGAGACAACUAGAAACUGAAAAGAGGGCCAGUGCUGGGUGGUGCUGGGCUCUUUGAAGGGGACAUGAUGAAGCUAGUUCUGUACAUGCUGCAAAGGCUGCAAACUGGAUUCACUUACUGUUAAGGAAAACCUUGAUAAUGCAGGUUUUCACCUAGGCAUGAAUGUGAGGUGCAGGCGAGACAUUUUGGAUGAAUGUGUCUGUAGUUUUUGUGGGGUGUUUGCUUGUGGUACUGUGCUCUUUUCUAAGCCUGUUGCUGGUGUUUUGAGGCCGGCUGUCUCCUGACUGUUUGCCUCCUCGUUAGAGGUCUCUUAGUUCCAGUUCCAAGCUUCUCACUGAAUAGAUGCUUAGGUGAUACACACUAUAAAAAGAGAUUUUGCAGGGCACCUGGCUGGCUCAGUCAGAAGAGCAUGUGACUCUUGAUCUUGGGGUCAUGAGUUUGAGCCCCACAUUGGGUGUAGAGAUUACUAAAAAAAAACUUAAAAAGAAGAAAGAUUUUGCAUUAUAACAUUGUGGAUGUUGGAAUAGCAGCCUACUAGUAGGUCACUAAAUGGACUCAGGCCUGGUACUCAUGUGGAUCUUGUGGGAUGUGCAUGGUUACAUCCAUUCAUCCUUGAAAUAACACAGUUUCAAGUUUGCCAUAGUUCACAUUUACAUGAAGACUCCUGCCUUUGCUCCAUGCCCUUAACCUGGUCUCGGCCUAUUGCUGGCCCCUCCAAUGCCCCCACGUGAGAGAGGGUAGAGGGGCUGGCCCUUGCUUUCUCUGGGUGGCCUUGGAGAUGAUUGUUGUGAUGCUGUCAGGGAUUCCAGAAGCCAAAUGUCUCAAACUAUUUCCUUGGCUGUCAAUGUCAAGGUAUGUGUGUGGGUCCCCAAGACCACUUUUAGUCUUAAUGAUAUGCUGGAAGGAGUCUCAGAAUUCAACAAGGCUGUUAUACUCGUGAUUAUAGUUUAUUAUAGCGAAAAGAUACAUAUUAAACUCAGCAAUGGAAAAAGGUGCAUAGUCUGGGAGAUAGUGGGCAUAAGUUUCCACAUGACCUUUCCCAGGGUAGUCAUGUGGACAAUGCUUAAUUCUCACAGCAAUGAUAUGUGACAGUGUAGCAGCCAGGGAUGCUUACCCGAGUUGUGGCAUCCAGGGUUUUUAUUGAGGGUCAGUUACAUAUGUAUGGAGUAUACUAACCAUAGUUACUCAGUCUCAACUCCUCCCAGAGGUCAGGUUGGUACAAUGUGGACCAGGGUCACCACUGUAAGUCACAUUGUUAGCAUGAACUAUCUGGUUUGGCCUAAGUCCUUAGGUAAACAGAGAUACCUUUAAGAGGCAGAAUAUUCCAAGGGCUUAAGAGGUUACCUUUCAGGAGCAGGUCAAGGGCCAAACUUUUGGAAUGUGCAAGGUUUGGACAACCCAGGCCUGCUGAGUCAACCCUUUCCUGAACAUCUGGCUGCAGCCAAAGGAAGGCUCUCAUGACUGUUUCCUUGGUGUUUCAGUGAUUUGGGUUUCAGGGGCCUUGGAUGUACUCUUAAGGUAUGUAUGUGUAUGUGGACCAAAGGAGGAGGUGCUUGUUGGCCAGGGCAGGGUGUUCUGUGUGAUUUGGAUGGCAGUCCUUGUUCUCAUUCAGCUCAGAGUCCCGGGCCAGCAUCUGGGUACAUGUUAACUGCCUGGGUGCCUGACCUCUGUGUCCUUAGGGUGGGGCUGAGGGCACUAACACUUUCCUCUCCCCUCAGUGCUGGCCCAGUCUCAUCCCGAGGACCAGUGGUCUGGAGACCUGGCAGAGUCAGCCAAACUCUUCACAGAUGGAGCUCAGUUAUCUCUACCCCCCACAUGGGGCUCGAACUCACCACCCUGAGAUCAAGAGUUGUAUGCUCCUCCCACUGAGCCAGCCAUGUGCCCCACCAGUUUCCGGUUUAAAACAGCAUUCGCAGUAACCCAGGGGCUUCUCCAGGAGGAGAGAGGGUGUUGCUCACAGACAUGGACUGAGCCCACAUGGGAAGGAGAGCAGAUCAGCCAAGGAGCAUGCCCAGGGUCUCCUGCCAGAUAUCCAGCCAGAAGAGAGAACUCUGUGGAACUUGUGAGCCGAUAGGAAGGUAGUGUGGGCCUCAGAGGAGGGCCUGAAGAUAGAGGAAGUUCCCAUAAAGUCCAUCAAAGUGAGGAUCUCCAUCUUCAGCCAGAUCUGGAGGCAAGGCCCUGGACCCCCAACAGCCCGAGAUGAUUCUCUUUGCAGUGGCCCCAGCAGCCCUCUGAGAUGCAACGCAACAUCCCCGGUCAGCAGGGGCAGCCACCAUACUCCUCAGUGAUCCAGCCCAGGGCCCAUCAGCGCUGUGGCCGAGACUUGGGCUGCAGAGGCUGGAAUGUGGCGUCUGAACAGCCUGCUGUGCACAGAGAAGGAAGAACAUGAAAACGUGAGCAAUGAAGCCAACAAUAACCCAUCAUUUAAAUCCUGCUUCUCACACUUGUCUUGGAAACAAAAGUGAUCCAAGGAAUUCAUGCCCAGUCUCCACCCAACAGAACCCUGCUGAGGCAUCGAUGGCCUUGCAGAUCCUCUCCAGCAGGGCCUUCCAGGCUGGUGUGGUUCCUCCACCAGAAAUGUGAAAUCUUCUGUCACCAUAUACAUUUGGGAAAUGCCGGGAGCAUCUCCUCGGGAUUCAGCCCCAAAACGGAUGGGCAUGCACACUGGGCAGGACCCAGCAGCGGAAGCUCAGUGCCAAUGUGAGUGUAAGUGGUCGGGCCACCUGGCAAGCAUCUGGCAGCUUCCCCUGGAGGGAAGCACUCACCUGGCCUAUUAACCGGGACAAAUGAAAAUACGUGCCCCCCACCCCUGCUAAAGCCACCUGCCCCUGUUUGGACAAUCACCUGUCUGGACAAGGAGGCCAGCACGUCCUGCAUGUUGGUGGCGGGGGGGAACUCAAGCCCCGGGGUGUCAAGGGCACAGCGCUGGCUGCCAUCUACCUCUGCCCACUGGGAAUGCUCCGUGGAGGGUCCUCUAACCAGACUUGAUAGACAGAACAUAUAGACUGCACACUUUUGUGUGGGACUCUUGACACUCAGAACCAUGUCUCAGAGAUUCAUCUGUUUCCUGGCGUGGACCCUUCAUUUUCUGUGGCUGAGUGGUGUUCUACCAUGUGAACACUCCGGGAUUCCUUUGUCCGCUUGGAUGGUUCUUAAUUUGAGGUUACAAUAAAGCUGCUAUGAGCAUUC